rnacentral:sRNA from 1 species
AUGUGCCACUCGUACACUCCGGUUCCUGCGCGCCGUCCGCGCCCACCUGACAGCUGCUCGCUACGUUUUGUUAGCC